CAAAGUGAAGAAAUUCAACCAAGC
rnacentral:ncRNA from 2 species